GCCGGCGUGGCAGAGUCUGGCUGAUUGCGGCAGAUUCGAGAUCUGCUGGGACAUACCCGUCCCUCCUCGGUUCAAAUCCGAGCGCCGGCG
rfam:Nanohaloarchaea archaeon SG9, complete genome.